CGCACGGGUGAGUAACGCGUAUGCAACCUACCUUUUACAGGAGGAUAGCCCAGAGAAAUUUGGAUUAAUACUCCAUAGUACUAAUGAAUCACCUGGUUUAUUAGUUAAAACUCCGGUGGUAAAAGAUGGGCAUGCGUGUCAUUAGCUAGUUGGUAAGGUAACGGCUUACCAAGGCGAAGAUGACUAGGGGUUCUGAGAGGAAGAUCCCCCACACUGGUACUGAGACACGGACCAGACUCCUACGGGAGGCAGCAGUGAGGAAUAUUGGUCAAUGGGUGAGAGCCUGAACCAGCCAUGCCGCGUGAAGGAAGACUGCCCUAUGGGUUGUAAACUUCUUUUCUGCAGGAAGAAAUCACUCUACGUGUAGGGUGUUGCCGGUACUGCAGGAAUAAGCAUCGGCUAACUCCGUGCCAGCAGCCGCGGUAAUACGGAGGAUGCAAGCGUUAUCCGGAUUUCUUGGGUUUACAGGGUGCGUAGGCGGGCUUGUACGUCAGUGGUGACAUGCUGUGGCUUACCCAUAGACUUGCCAUUGAAACUGCGAGUCUUGAGUACAGUUGAGGUGGGCGGACUGCGUCAUGUAGCGGUGCACCUGCCCUAGAUCUUACCUCAGAACUCCGAUUGCGUACGCAGCUUGCUCAACUGUAACUGACGCUGAUGCACGAUCGCGUGGGGAGCGACCAGGAUUAGAUACCCUGGUUGUCCACGCUGUAGACGAUGAGCACUGGUCGCUGGCAAUACACCGUCAGCGACUGAGCGAAAGUAUUAAGUGCUCCACCUGGGGAGUACGUCGGCAACGAUGAAACUCAAAGGAAUUGACGGGGGCCCGCACAAGCGGAGGAACAUGUGGUUUAAUUCGAUGAUACGCGAGGAACCUUACCUGGGCUUAAAUGUAGAGUGCAUUGCUUGGAAACAGGCAUUUUCUUCGGAACUCUUUACAAGGUGCUGCAUGGUUGUCGUCAGCUCGUGCCGUGAGGUGUCGGGUUAAGUCCCAUAACGAGCGCAACCCCUAUUGUUAGUUACCAGCACGUAAUGGUGGGGACUCUAGCAAGACUGCCGGUGUAAACCGUGAGGAAGGUGGGGAUGACGUCAAAUCAGCACGGCCCUUAUGUCCAGGGCUACACACGUGUUACAAUGGCAAGUACAAAGAGCAGCCACCUGGCGACAGGGCGCUAAUCUCAAAAGCUUGCCUCAGUUCGGAUCGAAGUCUGCAACUCGACUUCGUGAAGGUGGAUUCGCUAGUAAUCGCGCAUCAGCCAUGGCGCGGUGAUACGUUCCCGGGCCUUGUACACACCGCCCGUCAAGCCAUGGAAGCCGGG
rnacentral:rRNA from 1 species